GUCCACGCCAUAAACGAUGAGGACUAGACGUUGAGAGGGUAAGCCUCGCAGUGUCGCAGCUAACGCGUUAAGUCCUCCGCCUGGGGAGUACGGCCGCAAGGUUGAAACUCAAAGGAAAUUGACGGGGACCCGGCACAAGCGGUGGAGCAUGUGGUUUAAUUUCGAUGCAACGCGAAGAACCUUACCUGGCCUUGACAUCCUCGGAACCCUGCAGAGAUGCGGGGGUGCCUUCGGAACCGAGAGACAGGUGCUGCAUGGCUGUCGU
rnacentral:rRNA from 1 species